CUCUCUCUAUCUCUAAUUUGUCCUUUAUAGUUGCUCACAAGGUGUUCUACUGUUGGUUGUUUUUAGCUACAAGUUUUUUGUCAUUAAAAUUAAUGUAGUACGGAGAUUUUCAUAAACUUCGAGGUCCACAUUUUAUUGGCAGAUUUCUUGUCUUUCCCCAAUCUCCCUUAUUUCUGUAGCUAUUAGCGGAAACCGUUACAGGCGACCUUCUCUCUUAAGCUUCCGUACCUAGUGCUGGUUUCUAUAUAUCUCAAUUAUGCUCGCUUUCCUAAAGGAGCGAAGGUCAGGAUCCAGCAGAACUAUGUUCGGACACGCUGUUCAGGCUUCAGGCCAAAUGUUGUUAAGCCUUGUUCUCAUGAAUAGCCGAAGAUGUAUUUGGCCUGGUUAGUAAGCUUUCACAGUUUUGUUUAGAAGAAUUAUGAAAUAACCGAGGCCCAAAAGUGGGGAAGGUGAUGACAGAGUACCCGGCGAGUGAUAUUCAAGUCGGUUCUUCUUCAGGCUAUCCAACGAUUCCCUAGCUGUAGCCUGACUUUCUUCUACUGUGGAAACGGGAGAAAGAAGCUUCUCUGUGAGGAAUACUCCCCUCUUCUUUAGAAGUUCGGACAGGUGGAGAAAAUAGUGGAUAAUGUUUUCCAUUGUCCGUUCUACUGUAAGGUCUUUAUUGGCCAUUCUCGAUUCCAACAAGUGAACGUUGUAGUGAUGGAGUUUGAACAGUUAUAAAACCUAUCUGCAGUCAUUCGCACUAUUCACUUUGCUCGAUAGGGUAUCUGCACAAUACCCCUUCUUACUGUCCAGUUUGACUGUGAUUCUCAGCAGGCAUACAAGAAGACAAUGGAGUCGCCACAUGCCCUAAAAGGACAAAAGAAAAACUGAAAAUUGUGACUAAUGUAGUUGUCUUAUAGUUAGUGGUUGCGACGGGAUAUUAUUCAGUAUUGAUUUGGUGUUUCUGCAAAAUUCUGAUGGUCAAUUCGUGGAGAUAAGUAUUUUUUGUCAUAGUAUUUUUUUUGUUAUGAUUUAUGAAACAACGUUCAAAAAACAGAUAAGUAUUUUUUGUCAUAGUAUUUUUUUUGUUAUGAUUUAUGAAUAAGUAUUUUUUGUCAUGACUUAGCAACAAUGUAUAUUAUUCUGUAUUUAAUUGGUGUUUCAGCAAAGUUCUGAUGGCAAAUUCAUGGACAGAGAACCUUACAUGGUAUUUUUUUUGUUAUGAUUUAUGAAACAACGAUAAAAAAACAGGAGUAUUUUUUGUCAUGACUUAGCAACAACGUUGAAAGAACAUGUGAGUUCAGUAAGGGCAAAGCCCAUACUAGAAAAUAUUGUGAUAACAUUGCUGAUGGCAGCUAUGACAAGUAAAUGUAAAACAUUGCAGUAAUAGUUUCUUUCAAGAACGUAUCAUAGUAAUGAUAUCUUUCUGGAAGGCUUCUGGAAAAGGUUUCAAAAUUUUUGCUUCAAUAAGAAACUCUCAGGAACUCAGAAAGCCAAAAAAAUAUAAAGAAUAAUAAAGAAUUUGAAACUAUGAACUUUUUCCACUAACAUAUACAAGGAAAAUAAUUAAAAGAACAUGAAAUUUUGAGUUUUCAGUUAAUUUUCUUACCAAAAAAUUACAAACAUUCAGAAUAAUUUUUUAAAAUUCUAAGAGAAACAAAAAUAAAAAAGAAAAAGAAAAUAUACACUUAAACUACAUGUAGAGGAGGGCUUAUAUGGAUAGGAAACUGUGGAUCAUAAUCCAUCAAAAGCCGGUCUCCUUAGUAGGUAGCUGAACCAAAUGCUGUGUGGGUCAUAAUCCAUCAAAAGCUGAUUAGUCUUCUUAAUGGAUAGCUGAAUCAAAUGAUCUGCAUGCAACUGUUGCUCUCUUCAAAUUCUUUUAGAUACUCAUAGCAAGAAAUAGCUUAUGAUAGCUUUCACAUUAUAAAAUGCUUGGCUUAUACUUGAAAUCAGAACAUUCAUGCCUUUAAGAAAGGUGACAGUUGAUUUGUCUCAGAUAUCUACCUGCUACAAAAGGAACUGGGGUCUCAUAUGGAAAGCUUGUCUUGAGGGGGUCUACCUACUACAAAAUAGACAGCAGAAAUUUAUAGUCAGCAUUAUCUUCAUGGAUCACUUGAUCUUGUCUUGAUAUGGUGAUGUCAAAAUAAAAAGCCAGAUCCUCUAGAAAAAGAAAGAAAUCUUUCUGCUGUGGGGUUUAGUUUACGUCCAAUUAAGAUAAGGAAACUGAUUUGGCCCGUAUGAGAGAAGAUCCUAUUGGAGUUGGGAUCUAAUGAUUACUGUCCUUUGGUCUACAGAAUUAUGAAAAUGUCCUGGGUCACAAUCAAGCUUACCUGUCGGCUGUCAUUGAUAAACAAAUAGAGAACUGAUUUGGCCUGUAGGAGAGAAGAUCCUGUUGGAGUUGGGAACUAAUUGUUACUGUCCAUUCUCAUGGUCUACAGAAUUAUGAAAAUGUAUGAAAAUGUCCUGGGUGACAAUCAAGCUUACCUGUUGUUGAUAAACAAAAUAUGGGAGCCAGUAAAAUAUCUUGCCAUCAAGAAGUCCAACGAUGUGCAGGUCUGUUUCUUCAGCUCCAUGUACGUCAGCAGACGAGGUUGUUUACUCUGGUGCAGGUUAAUUAGAAAAGCAAUUUAACCAUGAUACUCGACUAAGAUGAAAUAUAAAGCUCACUAUUAAAAAUUAUACAUGUUUACUGAGUUUGAAUUCCAUUGAAGUAAGAUGCUGGAUUAACUAUUCUUCUUGACAUUUUCCUUGCACGGUCUAUUUGAAGUAACAUUUCUCAUUGGUUAGAGUAGCAGUUAUAAGCUUGCAAAAAUCUAUGCCUUAUGGCUUUGUGAUGGCAUUCUUAGCUUUUGUUUCAGAUUUUUCCUUGAAACUGGUCUUUGCAUAACGCAGCAAGAAAACAUUAAAUUAAGAAUGUGUAUCCACAGUAAAUGAAAUUUAUCUCAACCUGAUCACUAAGAUACCAGGAUGCUCAUUGUUGCAGUUACAGUGAAAGAGAAAAAAGAUUGUCUUGUCCCUGAUUUGUAGAGGCUUGUAAAAAGGUGUUAUAGUUCAUCCAGCAUCCAGCAAGCUAUAUGCUUUGAUUUUUCUAUUUCUCUAAACUACUUGGGAUAUGAUUCUGCAACCUGGCCAUGUAUUGCGUACUUUAAGGUCAAUUUGGGUACAUAUCAUAGAAGUAGCUUUUCACAAAACAUAAUUAUGUAGGAAACUUUGUAUUGUAACAGAGGUGUUGAGAAAGCAAAAACAAGUUUUUUUUUUUUUGCUCGA